CGGUAGCACAGAGAGCUUGCUCUCGGGUGACGAGUGGCGGACGGGUGAGUAAUGUCUGGGAAACUGCCUGAUGGAGGGGGAUAACUACUGGAAACGGUAGCUAAUACCGCAUAACGUCGCAAGACCAAAGAGGGGGACCUUCGGGCCUCUUGCCAUCAGAUGUGCCCAGAUGGGAUUAGCUAGUAGGUGGGGUAACGGCUCACCUAGGCGACGAUCCCUAGCUGGUCUGAGAGGAUGACCAGCCACACUGGAACUGAGACACGGUCCAGACUCCUACGGGAGGCAGCAGUGGGGAAUAUUGCACAAUGGGCGCAAGCCUGAUGCAGCCAUGCCGCGUGUAUGAAGAAGGCCUUCGGGUUGUAAAGUACUUUCAGCGGGGAGGAAGGUGUUGUGGUUAAUAACCGCAGCAAUUGACGUUACCCGCAGAAGAAGCACCGGCUAACUCCGUGCCAGCAGCCGCGGUAAUACGGAGGGGGCAAGCGUUAAUCGGAAUUACUGGGCGUAAAGCGCACGCAGGCGGUCUGUCAAGUCGGAUGUGAAAUCCCCGGGCUCAACCUGGGAACUGCAUUCGAAACUGGCAGGCUAGAGUCUUGUAGAGGGGGGUAGAAUUCCAGGUGUAGCGGUGAAAUGCGUAGAGAUCUGGAGGAAUACCGGUGGCGAAGCGGCCCCCUGGACAAAGACUGACGCUCACGUGCGAAAGCGUGGGGAGCAAACAGGAUUAGAUACCCUGGUAGUCCACGCCGUAAACGAUGUCGACUUGGAGGUUGUGCCCUUUGAGGCGUGGCUUCCGGAGCUAACGCGUUAAGUCGACCGCCUGGGGGAGUACGGCCGC
rnacentral:rRNA from 1 species